UACGUAGGGUGCAAGCGUUAAUCGGAAUUACUGGGCGUACAGCGCGCGCAGGCGGUGGCUGACGUGCCGUGUGACAAGCGGGGGCUCAACCCCCGAGGGCCACGGUAAACGGGGUCACUGGAGGACGGGAGAGGGAUGUGGAAUGCCCGGUGGAGCGGUGAAAUGCGUAGAGAUCGGAAAGAACACCAACAGCGAAAGCACUCUGCUGGGCCGACACUGACACUGAGAGACGAAAGCUAGGGGAGCGAAUGGG
rnacentral:rRNA from 1 species